UGUACUUUUUUUACCCAUUGAUAUAAACUCAAUAAUAAUUUUAAGGCUAAAUUACAGAAAGUUUCUUGUCAAUACUCGCUUUUUACUUUCCCCCCUAUCAUUCAAAAACUUACAUUUUGUCCCGUUAAAAAAUAAAAAAUGUUCACUUUGAUCCCGCCGUCAGUGUUUCGUUAUAGUUCCGUUUAUAUUCUAUUUUUUAUACCCAAAAUAUUCCUGAAACUCUUUUUCUUCCUCAUCCUCGGCCGCACCGCCUCGCCCUCCGCCGCCGCACCCUCGCCCACCUCUCUGUCCAUGCCCACACACAUACUCUCACCCGCCUCCGCCGUCUCACCCUCGCCCUCGCCCACGUUUCAAUCCAUGCCCACCCCCAAAAAAAUGAGGGGUAAUUUGGUCAUUUUAUUACAGCGUACCUUCCUGUGAAUAUUUUUUUAUUUUUUAAGACGGUAAAACGUAGGUUUUUGAAUGACAGAAAGAAAAGUGAAAAACCGGAUAUGACGGGGGUUUCUGUAAUUUAGCUUAAUUCUAAUCCACAUGGAAUUUUUUUUUUUCUA
rnacentral:lncRNA from 1 species